GAUCAACUCAGAGAUCUUGGAAGAGAGAUUGUCAAGGAAGAGGGCAUUACGAAUCUUGAGAAGCGCAGCAGGUUGUGGUGUCCGAUAACCGCCUUAGAUGUGGUUAAGAAUAACCUGGUAUGUCUAAAAAAACUAAGCAGGCAAUUAUGUGUAUUUAAAGUUCAUUUUCAUCCAAAAUGUUUGCUCAUUUUUGUACACAGGACAUUGAUGAUUUUGCAUAAUUUGAGAGAAAUGAACAACAUUCUAAAAUAACUAAUUUUUACCAUUACGACUCCCAUGUAAAUGGGAGAGAUAAUGAUUCAGGGAAAUUGCCCCUUUUUGUACAAGAUAAUAUGUAUGUGCCUUGUUUUUUUUUUUUUUUUUGUUGGUUCACCCAUGUUUACUAUUAGUUGAAUUUAGAUAUAUCCUCCCUAUUUUGAUAUUUAGUACUUACUCUGAAUGGUUCAAUCAUGUUGCUAACUUGUUGCUUUGGAAAUAUCAGGAAACAAAAAACAUUGAAACACUCAAACUCACGGGACUUGCCGACGGGCAUAAUUUUACAAGAGAAGAAUUUUCAAGGCUGCCUAGUUUAAGGUUCCUCGAAUUAGAUGGGGGAAACUUUGUAGGAGACUUUAAAAAUCUUCUCUUAAAUCUAAGAUGGCUCUCUUGGUGUCAUUGCCCUUUAAACCUACAGGCCAACGGUUUAUGUCUAAAGAACUUGGCUGUUCUCAAGCUUUCAG
rnacentral:lncRNA from 1 species